CACAGCAACCGCAAACCCCCAGCUUCCAGAGCGGCCCUUUGACGGCUGGCAGCCAUAUUGGAUUGGACCCACCCUACCAAAGACAGGAGCUGCCUCGGGGUAACAGCCAGUAAUCACUGGAGUAAGCAGUACCCUUCUGUCCUGGUCUCAUCUCCACUGCGGCGAUAAACCACUCUGACCAAAGCAGCUCAGGAGAGGGGCACCGUGGGGUGGCUCCCACAGUCCACUGAGGGAAGUCCGGCAGGGAUCGAAGCAAGAACUUGAAGCAGAAACCGUCGAGGAACACCGCUGGCUAGCUCAAUGGCAGCAGGAGACUGUGCAGUGGGUCAAGACACCCCGCUUCAUGGGAAAACCUCGUUUGUCAUUCCCACCACUGAUUCGGACCACACGACCCGUCCACUCUUCACCCAGAGCAUCAGCAGCGACUUCUGUGGC